AUGGAUGAAGUGGUUCUUGCAAAUGGAUUUGUUGGAAGUGUUCUCUCAGACUACUUCUGGGCACUCUGUGUUGUAUGGACAACUCCCCUCGUGGCCACUUUGGGCAUGUCACUCACUAUUCCUCUUGCUAUGUUGGCUGAUAUGGUAAUCCACGGUCGGCAUUAUUCAGCGCUAUACAUGCUUGGCUCAGUUCAGGUAUUUGCAGGUUUUGUGAUAGCUAAUCUUUCAGAUUGGAUGACAAAGAGGUUGGGAUUAUAG